rnacentral:rRNA from 1 species
AAUGAACGCUGGCGGCGCGCCUAAUACAUGCAAGUCGAGCGAGAAGACGUAGCAAUACGUUUGUAAAGCGGCGAACGGGUGAGGAAUACAUGGGUAACCUACCCUCGAGUGGGGAAUAACUAGCCGAAAGGUUAGCUAAUACCGCGUACGCUCCUUGGACUUCGGUUCAGGGAGGAAAGCGAUACCGUGGGUAUCGCGCUCUUGGUUGGGCUCAUGUCCUAUCAGCUUGUUGGUGAGGAACGGCUCACCAAGGCUUCGACGGGUAGCUGGUCUGAGAGGACGAUCAGCCACACUGGCACUGCGACACGGGCCAGACUCCUACGGGAGGCAGCAGUAAGGAAUAUUGCGCAAUGGGCGAAAGCCUGACGCAGCGACGCCGCGUGGGGGAU